ACCUAAAAAUUUACAUUCUGUCAUCAUUUACUAUAUCAGUUUGGAACAACAUGAAAGUGAGUGAUUGAUAACCAUUUCCAUUUUUAACUGAACCGUCCCUUUAAAUCUUAACAUGAAAAACUAAAAAUAAAAAAUGUUUGGCAGAGAAAUUCUUAGUGUUCCAAGACUGUAGGAGACUGUAGGAUUUCUCUCUCUUUCUGUCCAUCAUUUUAUUCUUUCUUUCUUUCCAGGACAUGGACUCUUUGUGGCACUCCUGAGUAUUUGGCUCCAGAAGUGAUCCAGAGUAAAGGUCACGGUCGAGCCGUGGACUGGUGGGCUCUGGGUAUUCUCAUCUUUGAAAUGCUUGCAGGGUAUCCACCGUUUUUUGAUGAUAAUCCCUUUGGCAUCUACCAGAAGAUCCUGGCCGGAAAGCUGGAGUUUCCACGGCAUCUGGAUUUCUAUGUAAAGGACCUAAUCAAGAAGUUUCUGGUGAUU